UACGACACACGCUACAAUGGCCAACACAAUAGGUUGCUAAGCCGCGAGGGUGGCGCCAAUCCAUAAAGUUGGUCUCAGUUCAGAUUGUAGGCUGCAACCCGCCUGCAUGAAGAUGGAGUUGCUAGUAACCGCAGGUCAGCUAUACUGCGGUGAAUACCGGUUCCCGGGGCUU
rnacentral:rRNA from 1 species